CAGCCGCCGCGGUAACACGGAGGGGGCUAGCGUUGUUCGGAAUUACUGGGCGUAAAGCGCACGUAGGCGGCUUGGUAAGUUAGAGGUGAAAGCCCAGGGCUCAACCCUGGAAUUGCCUUUAAGACUGCCGAGCUAGUAGGUGAGAUAGGUGAGUGGAAUUCCGAGUGUAGAGGUGAAAUUCGUAGAUAUUCGGAAGAACACCAGUGGCGAAGGCGGCUCACUGGCUCAUUCUAGACGCUGAGGUGCGAAAGCGUGGGGAGCAAACAGGAUUAGAUACCCGUGUAGUCCCUGUCUCUUAUAC
rnacentral:rRNA from 1 species